rnacentral:rRNA from 1 species
GCCGCAGGAGUCAAACUCGAAAUCUCUGACCAAGCGGCAUCGGUGGGUGCGUGUGUUGAGCCACUACGCUAGGAGAAAGACUGUGAUAUUAUAAAGUUAAAAGUUUAUCUAUAUCAACUUUGAAAUAUUUGAAUUCAAAAUUUGAUUUUGAAUUUCGUCCGAAUUUUUUCCGGUAUUUCGUGGUUACCGUGGGAACCGUGAAUUUCGGUGCCCCUCGAGAAAAAAGCCUCGCUUGGGAUCCAAAACCUUG